UGAAUACUUCCCGAACUAUGAAAUUAUAAUCCUGAGAUUCUUCUUCAUUGUGUAAGGAUUAUAGAGUGGCUUGAUUAAGGGUAUUGCAAAAAAGAAUGGUGAUGCAAGAAGAAAAAAGUAAUAAUCAUUUAUACUUAAUUAACAAAAACAAAUGUUGUGUGUUUUUCAUUAGCCACAGGGAUUCAUUAAGUAUAGUAGCGCUGGAUUUAAAGAUGCUCCUAGUACAAGACAUGAAGAUGCUUUGACUAAUUUAGUUGAGGACCUUAACUGCUCUAAGGCAAGAAGGGUCCUCAUUAGAUUCUGAGUCUCUCUGUAAGAUUAGGCGGCAACCACUUGGAGCGCAAAACUUAAUAAAAGUUUUGGGUCUAGUUUGAUUCCUUCUGGUGAAUCACAAGGCUAGAGAUCUUCAAUUUAUCCCUAACACUGGCACUCUGGAGCGGCCAAGGAGCCUCAUGCCAAAGCAAAGGUGCUCCCAAUCCAUCUGGAAGAUCUGAGAGCUGCUCAUCAGAGGUCGUUCGCAGCUCUGAGAGCACAUGGAGCUCAGGUCCUGACGCCAGUUCCGAGCCUCGGGGUGAAGUGUCCCGGAAUGCAAUCUUGCUUCCAGCACAGACUUGAGCCGGCACAUUUUGAAGGGAAGUUUCAUCAAAUACUGAUUUAUGCCACCUGCAACCUAAAUGAAGCACUCUUCUGACAGCAAUCAGGCUUCUUUUUAAAUAGAAAUCAAUUGUUUCUGCACUGGAAACAGCUGUUUCCCACGAGGCCAGGAAUGGCGUGAAUCGAGGGAGGUAGUCACCCUGCAUACAAAACUUUAGAGGGCACCCCAAAACUCAGUAAUCCAGAGUCACAAGGCUUUCCAAGUCUUUUGAGAAGAAAACCUGCUAUAAAUGAAACAGGAUGGCUAAUUCUGUAUCUUCAUAAUUCAUGUGAAAUCCGGAUUUUGUUAAACAAAAGUAUUACGACAAGUGGUUCAGUUCAACCCGUGAAGAUCUGCCAGUGCGUCUCCAUAACGUUCAAAGCAGCCUGGCCAACCUGGCAGUUCUCUUGAAGUUGUAAAACCUCCAUUCCAACAAUCCCGCUGAGUUUUUCUAUCAGAAGACACAGGUUUUCCUUCUUAGGAUGCUUCUCUGCCACCUGGAGGAUAUAAGAGAUAAUAUGGAGAAUGAUGAAAACAGUUUUCAUGUCUUGGGAGAGCCACCAAGGGAGGCAGCGUACCACAAGGAAUCCACAGCUGGAUGUCUGGAUGCCUCCUCUGGAUGGAGAACUUGCGGUGCAUCAGGAGCUGGGGCAGCAUGCUCAGCCGCCUGUGUCAACGGCCACUUAGUUCUGGUGAUCCGUUACAAUGACGAAGUUUCCACAGUGUGGAGAGAGGGGGUCAAGACAUUGAGCCUCAAACUGGUCAUGAGCUCUAGCAGCCAGGCAGGACCCCCUUGUCAACCGUUUGGCAGAUGCACUCAUUGCAGCCAUCAUGAGGUAGGACAUGGCCCAGCAGGUGUCCCAGGGAACCUCAUUGCCACGACGCUGUGGGAGGUGGAAGAGGAGCAACAACAUUUACUUGACCACUUUUUCACAAGAGUACCGGUUGUUGUUUUGCUCCAGUGUGGACAAGGUCCACAUGAUGUUCUACAGAAAUGGGAUGGGUAUGGUUGAUGAAAAACCAGGGCCAGCAGAUGUGGGACAGCAUUGCUCAAGAGGACGAUGUCUCUGAAUUCUCAGCUGUCACCUGCUCUGUUACCAAGAACCCACACUACCUGUUCACAAACAGUCACACCAGGAGAAGACAGAAGCUCACUCAAGGGCUGGAUGGCACUCCGUCCACAACAGCUGGUGUCUGCUCCAAAGUCAAUGAAGCUGUGCUGGUCAGAGCCCAGGCUGCCUCAACCGCAAGCAGUGGUGAAGCCAUGACUUCAGGAGCUCCAGCAGCAUGAGAACGAGCCUUGCUUCAACAAUCUAUUUUAGAGGAGGGCUUCUUUCUUGAGACAGCAUUUUCCUGGCUGCCUGAGUGGCCUGGACACAUAGCUCUGGGUCUGAGGAGUCACACCAUUGAUUAUUUCAUGCAGGGGGAAGCUGACCAAUUUGGCGAGCUUUCCUGAAACUGGGUCAGGUGAGAGAUUGGUCAUGUUCCUUCUCUUUACAGCCUGCUCGUCUUUCUUGGCUUUCUGGAGCUGUAGGCUGAUUGCCAUCUGCUGUUGCUGCCUCAUAGAUGCUUCUUUGCCUCAGUACUGAAAUUUCCUCAGCCUCUCGACUAGAACUUCUAAAGUUGGCACAUUGACUGGAAGAAGCAUAAGAAACCACCUGGCGGAGCUGCCCUGAUUGAUGAGGUAGAAAGAAAGCAAUAUUCGAAGUCCAAAACCCAAGGUCCAAUUUGUGACUGAUUAGAAUAUACGACCUGAUUUCACCUACAAUGUUAUUUACCUUUCUUAGGUAGCAGUUCUUUCUUCUAUGGAUUAGUGGUGAUAAUACCUGACUUUCUGAAGUUCAGGCUAUUUUGGAAGAAGACAACUAUUAAUGCAAUAACAAAACUUUUGAAAUAUGUAAUUCCUAUUGAUAUUCCUUAAGCAAUGCAGUGCAUUUUCAUUAUCAUCCUACCUUGUGUCAGCAAAAAUUCUAUGAACUAGGUAAGCUGAAGGUGAACCCAGUGCGCUAGAAAAGAAGGGUGUGCUCUUAUAACGAUAGUAUUGAGCUGAGAAGUCUGUGAGGGGCUGUACUUAAGGACUCAGUAUUGACACUUGCAUUUUUGUAUACACAUUCUCUCCUCUCCCAUAAAAUAUUGAUUAAGCACUUAAGUUUAUUGAGUAAAGUAAUGCAUAAAUCUAACACAUGGUAUCAAGUUUCGAGAAGAUUAUAAUUCACUUUGUCAGACUGUACUGGCAGUCAUUAAACAGCCAAUGACGUAUUUCUAAGUUUCGUGCAAAAAGUACAUUAGUAAUUGCUCAGCUAAACCAGUUUAGCAGUCUUUCCUUCCCAUUUUCUUUGAGAACUUUGUCUCAAAAUUCUAGAAUAGCAAUGAUUUUGUGGUCUACUUGUUAUUGGGACAUUUGGUUAAUAAUGGGAUAUUUCAGAGUACACGGGAGGAGCAAAAUGGUAAUCACAUGCACAGAAACGUUUGUCAAAGAUUAUAGCAUUAAAGUGGACACUAGAGCUAAAGAAAUAGCCAGAGGAGAAUGAAUGAUGGAAGAGAGUUUUAAUUUAUUUUUAUGUUGACUUCAAGCAUGUUUAAAAGAGAAUGGACUGUAAGUAGAUAAUGAAUCAUCGUACAACAGAAAAAGGAGAGGCAAGGAUUCCUUUUUAUCAGGAAUGGAAAGGAAAUGAGUGGGUGAAAAUGACUAUCCAUUUAGAGACUUGUUGAGAGGAAAGGGAAGUCACAAUUGAUGUGUCUUGCAGUGAGGUGGAGAAUAUCUGAAAAGAGUACAUAUGUUUUAAAUCUCCCCAGUGGAGACUGGGAGAGAGGCUGGCUAGUAAACAUAGCAGGACUGCUGAGAGCACAAAGAUUUAAACUGAAUUCGCUGUCCAUAUUUAUAGAGGAGCUGAUCUGUCUGCUUUGUUAUUUUUCUUCAGUAAAAUGCAACAGAUAUUAGACAUAGAGAAUAAUUGUAUUAAUUCAAGGAUGAUGCAUAUGGAUAUCAGGUCAUGAGAUUGGAAGUAUUUAACCUUGGGAAGAAAGGAUGUGAAGAUUAUGAGAGCUCCUAUUGGGAGAGUGUUCAAGCGCGAGGGGGAAGAUUUCCAGCAGGGCAGCCGCAUACGGAAGAUUGGGCAGAGUCCUCGCAGAUGGCGGUGUCAGAGCAGGGGAGCCUGAAGAAGAGUAUAGAAGAAAAGCGACUAAGCAUUGCAGAUUUCCAGCAAUCAUGGGAAUGAACCAAUUUUUCUAUUGUGUCUUCAGAAAACACCAGGAGGAUCUUUCUUUGUCAGUGUGCUUGACUGUGAAAACAGGAACUGGUGCCAAUACUCCAAGGAAAAGAAGAGUGUUCUAGGAAUCAGAGCGAAUAUUCUCACCCCAGUUCUACUAUUGAAAGGAAAACUGUAUUCAAGCCAAAUAAUAGUAUGACCUUCAGUAGGCUGAUAGUGUUUUAUCAUACACACACCGUCCAUAUAUCAUUACCUAAGCAGUAGAAGUACCUACUGCUAUGUUUCUAGAUUCUGAAGGGCUCUGCCUUAGGGCGCAUGUUACUCCAUCCAUUAGCUUUGGAUUCUUGGUUCUUGAUGGUGUUCUUCUGCCAAGAACUCCACUUUUGAAUUCCCAAGCCAACCAAAAGAACAGGUUUCCAAAGUCCCAUUACGUGCAAAGGAAGAAGGUACUUACGUAAGAAAAAAAUUAUAAGAUUCUAUUUAAAAAGACUAGAGAAAAUUGCCCAUUUCACUUAAACACUCUCUUUCUGAAUAAUCAGAACAAACACAGUACAACAUACCCAGUUAUAUAAACCAGAUUCAUACAGUCUCAGCAAGGCCUUCACAAACACAAAAUAUUUUUAUCUGGUCGGAAGCCAAAAUGCAAAACAAGUUGGGAAACUUGAUUCCAAGAAUUCCAGAGGAAAUAUGUUUUCCAAUCACAGAAAUAUAACUUCUUAAGCUCUUGCUGCUGCUUCUUAAAGUGCACAAGAAACCUAACGAGUGUUUAAACCACCUUAGAAAAUACAGCCAUUCUUUUAAUAUCAGCAAAAAUGCAAAUAAAAUAUAUCUCCUUUGCCAAGGAAAUGAUGACCCCAAGCUUCUCAUAUUUGUUGGGUUUUUAUGAUGUGAGUGAAAUGUGCUAAGAAGUCAGAGGGAAUUCUAGGCUGUCUCGGGGUGAGUCAAUUCACUGCAAUUUUCUUUAGCCUUUACGUUUUAAGGUCCUUGAAUCAGAAUGCAAAAUAUCUAUUUUAUAAAUGUCAUGUAUGAGGGAAAUAAAUACAAAAUGGAACUAAUUGACCUGUAAUAAUUUAUCUUGUCUGAUUAUCUGAUACUCAAGAUUCUGAGUGUUUGUUCCUUCAGAGCUUCGUCUCCUGCUGGGAGAUAAUUUAACACAUUAUACCCUAAUUUAUAUAAUGUCAGAAAGAUUAACUGUUACCAAAUCUGUAAUGAUAACGGCAGCAGAGUAGUUGAAGCAUCUUGUGGCAAUUACUAUUUUGUCAGAAAUUUCCUACCAAUUUUGAAGCGAG
rnacentral:lncRNA from 1 species